UCCCCCACCCGCGGAUCCCUGUGGGUACCGCAGUGCUGUCUUCUAUAGGAAACUUCUCUCAAUUGUGCUGAUGGAAUCAACCUGGCUGGAAGAAGCAGCUAUUGGUAUUGAAAUCCCUUCCGAGUCAAGUACUGAGUAGCGAGGAAAGGAGAGGAAAACUGUUGAUCAAAGUUGGGGCUCGGCUGCUCCUGCUUGUCGUAUUUAUCCUCUGUACCCGAAGGAGGAACAGUUAGACUUGUCUGAGUAAUUGUUGGGGAACCGGGAACUCCUCUGGGAAAUGAGAAGUACUUUCCUAGGCAGCAUCAGGGUGAGAGAACUGAGAGGUUUUCUGGAAAAGCAGACCACAACGCAAGUGAGCCUAAGAUGUCUCCUCCUCUCAACACUAGAAGGGCACUGUGCAAGCAUCAAAGGGAUGAGGAAGCCAUCAGGCAAAGGGAGCAGCAGCUUCUGGGAAUUCUGCCUAGUAAACCAGGCACUCGAAAAUUUCCCAGCAUGCUCUGAGAACUCAGGUCUUGAUCUCACUCUUCUUGGAUUCAAGCCCUUUGUCCAGCUCUGCACUGAUAACACAGAGCCUACUUGAGAUUCUCUAUCUCCCUCUCUCUCUUCCCCUCCCCCCUCUCUCUCAAAAUAAACUUUAAAAAUAAAAAUAAAAUAAAAUCUUGGGGCACCUGGGUGGCUCAGUCAGUUGAGUGUCUGAUUCUUGGUUUUGCCUCGAGUCAUGAUCUCACCGUUCGUUAGUCUAAGCCCCACAUUAGGCUCUGUGCUGCUUCUGCAGAGCCUGCUUGGGAUUUCCUUUCUCCCUUACUCUCUGCCCCUCCCUUGCUCUCUCUCAAAAUAAAUAAACAUAAAAAAAAAACUAAAAUAAAUAAAUAAAAUCUUUAAUGAGAAAAAGCUAAAUAAAUGCAUAUUACACAACUCAGCCUAGCAAUUCCAUUCUUGGCUGUACACCUAAUGGAAAUAAGUGGUGAAGCACCUGGCUGGCUCAGUCGGUAGAACAUGCAGCUCUUAAUCUCAGAGUCGUGAGUUCAAGCCCCGCAUCAGGCAUGGAGCCUAGUUAAAAUUGAAAAAAGAAAUGAAUGUCGUGUAUUUUUUGUAAUGUUUAUUUAUUUUUGAGACAGAGAGAGAGAGAGCCUGAAGGAGAGGGGCAGACAGAGAGGGGGACAGAGGAUCCCAAGCAGGCUCUAUUCUGACAGCAAAAAGCCUGGAGCCUGCUUUGAUUUCUCUGUAUCCCUCUCUUUCUGCCCCUCCCCUGCUCAUGGUCUCUCUCUCUCUCUCUCUCUCUCUCUCUCUCUCUCUCUC